rnacentral:rRNA from 1 species
AUUGAACGCUGGCGGCAGGCCUAACACAUGCAAGUCGAACGAGUGGCGGACGGGUGAGUAAUGGCUGGGAAACUGCCUGAUGGAGGGGGAUAACUACUGGAAACGGUAGCUAAUACCGCAUACCAUCGGAUGUGCCCAGAUGGGAUUAGCUAGUAGGUGGGGUAACGGCUCACCUAGGCGACGAUCCAUAGCUGGUCUGAGAGGAUGACCAGCCAAACUGGAACUGAGACACGGUCCAGACUCCUAAGUGAGGCAGCAGUGGGGAAUAUUGCACAAUGGGCGCAAGCCUGAUGCAGCCAUGCCGCGUGUAUGAAGAAGGCCUUCGGGUUGUAAAGUACUUUCAGCGGGGAGGCGUUACGCGCAGAAGAAGCACCGGCUAACUCCGUGCCAGCCGCCGCGGUAAUAC